rnacentral:miRNA from 1 species
GCAGACACAUUCCAGCCAAUCAGCAACAGACCCUCGCUCCCAGACCCUCCCACCUCCUGGACAGCAUCCAUUGUGUAGCUGCAUUCUUAGUGAGCUGUCCAGGAGGUGGGAGGGUCUGGGAGGGAGGGUCUGCUGCUGAUUGGCUGGAAUGUGUCUG